rnacentral:rRNA from 1 species
UACGAAGGGUGCAAGCGUUACUCGGAAUUACUGGGCGUAAAGCGUGCGUAGGUGGUUUUUUAAGUCCGUUGUGAAAGCCCUGGGCUCAACCUGGGAAUGGCAGUGGAUACUGGAAAGCUAGAGUGCGGUAGAGGGUAGUGGAAUUCCCGGUGUAGCAGUGAAAUGCGUAGAGAUCGGGAGGAACACCGGUGGCGAAGGCGGCCUUCUGGACAGUGACUGACGCUGAGACGCGAAAGCGUGGGGAGCAAACAGG